rnacentral:rRNA from 1 species
CCUACGGGUGGCAGCAGUGAGGAAUAUUGGUCAAUGGGCGAGAGCCUGAACCAGCCAAGUCGCGUGAGGGAGUACUGCCCUAUGGGUUGUAAACCUCUUUUGUCGGGGAGCAAAAGCCGGACGUGUCCGGCUGUGAGAGUACCCGAAGAAAAAGCAUCGGCCAACUCCGUGCCAUCAGCCGCGGUAAUACGGGGGAUGCGAGCGUUAUCCGGAUUUAUUGGGUUUUAAGGGUGCGCAGGCGGAUUGUUAAGUCAGCGGUAAAAUCGUGGGGCUCAACCCCAUCCAGCCGUUGAAACUGGGGAUCUAGAGUGGGCGAGAGGUAUGCGGAAUGCGUGGUGUAGCGGUGAAAUGUAUAGAUAUCACGCAGAACCCCGAUUGCGAAGGCAGCAUACCGGUGCACAACUGACGCUCAGGCACGAAAGCGUGGGUAUCGAACAGGAUUAGAUACCCGGGUAGUC